rnacentral:rRNA from 1 species
AACGAACGCUGGCGGCGUGCCUAACACAUGCAAGUCGAACGAGAAAGGGGCUUCGGCUCCGAGUAAAGUGGCGCACGGGUGAGUAACACGUGGGUAACCUGCCUCUAAGAUUGGGGUAACUCGUCGAAAGAUGAGCUAAUACCGGAUAAGACCACAGUUCCCGCGGGAACAGGGGUCAAAGGUAGCCUCUGCUUGCAAGCUAUCACUUAGAGAUGGGCCUGCACACCAUUAGAUAGUUGGUAGGGUAACGGCCUACCAAGGCAAAGAUGGUUAGCUGGUCUGAGAGGAUGAUCAGCCACACUGGAACUGAGACACGGUCCAGACUCCUACGGGAGGCAGCAGUGGGGAAUAUUGCGCAAUGGGCGAAAGCUUGACGCAGCAACGCCGCGUGAGUGAUGAAGGCCUUCGGGUCGUAAAGCUCUGUCGGGAGGAACGAAUGCUCCCAAGGUUAACAGCCUCGGGAGGUGACGGUACCUUCGAAGGAAGCACCGGCUAACUCUGUGCCAGCAGCCGCGGUAAAAC